CCUCAGUGAAGCCUGAACUCGAGUAGGCCAGCAGGCCCCAAGAAGGAAGGAAGCAGGAAGGAAGGAGGCAGCCAACCGGCCAGCGUAGCCACCUCAGUUAUCUGCAGCAGACCCUCUGCCCAGGCCAGCCAGCUCCAGGGCGUAUGAAGGGGGAAAGCAGAAGAGACCAGGAGCACUCUUCCAUACUCUGUGCGGGUACAUCCAUUGCUGCACUGCCUUUCUGGAAGAGGGCAUGGAGGAUCAAGGCGCCUGGGGAGACCUACUCCUGGAGAUGGACAGUGUGUGUGUACAUGGGGAAGGAGACAAUCUAAACCUAGAUUUCAGUUUCAUCUUGCCACAGUUGGAGCCUCGGAAGUGGGAAAUGUAUAUCUGAAGAGGAAGGCUAAACCACUUCAGAUGACAGGUGGGAACAGACAUGAAGGAAAGCCCCUCCCUAGAAAACAAGUCCUUGCACAGAGAAAAUUAACAGGUCAGGCUGAAUUACUUUCCUCUGCUAUGUGAUUUGUUUUUUGUUUGUUUGUUUGAAUUGUGGCAAAACAUUCGGUGCUGAGAGUCCCAGUCUGAAGUUGUGGAGAUGUGCCACUUGAGUGACAAUGAGGCCUGGGAGAGCAUGCAUUUGAGCUGAGGUGGAGGCCAGAGAGGUGACCAUUUUAGUCCGCUGCCAAACCCACAGCACAGAGGAGUCUUGUGAUACCUGGAAGACAAAUGCAUUUAUUGCACAACUCUCAAAUGCCUCCUCACUCUUGUACAGCAUUAUUAUUGCUGCAUUUCUGCUUUUGUAUCUUAUAAGAACAAAACCCUGCAGCCUUACACAUAGUUAAAAGGCUUCAGGCGGCAAUCCUCUGCAGAUUUUCUUGAGCGUAAGUCCUACUGAAACCAAUGGGAUUUCUUUCUGAGUAAAUUUUGAAAUGGCAUCAGUAGUGCUUCCUAACUGGGUGCUGGCUUGCAGCUGUGUUCCUGCGUCAGCUUUUAUGGUUUCAUGUUUGGUUAUAUUUAAAAGAUGGAUUGAGUAUGUUUUGUUAUAUGAGCCUAAACUACCUUGAGAGUCAGCCUGGGCCUGAAAUCCGGAUAUAUACAUUGGAAAGCAGAAACACAACACGUAAUAAUGAUUGCAGAAUUUCUGUCAUGUUCUUCAGACGAUGAAGAUAGGACACAUUUUGGCUAAACUGUAUUUGACACAAAAGAAGCAAUGAAAUAAUACCUUUAUUAGACCCACCUCUGGUGUCCCAAAUAAACGAUGGUGUACUGUAUCCCCUCCCUAAUUAAAGUAUUACCUUAAGGUGGGUUCGGGGUUGAUUCAUUGGGGCGAGAGAGAACAG